rfam:Toxocara canis scaffold434, whole genome shotgun sequence.
GUGGAAAUAGCUCAGUGGUAGAGCUCCCGCUUCGUAAGCGGGAAGACCUGGGUUUGAUUGCCGGCUGCUUACG